rnacentral:rRNA from 1 species
AAGUUUGAUGGCGACCGGCGCACGGGUGAGUAACACGUAUCCAACCUACCCUUUACUCGGGGAUAGCCUUCGAAAGAAAGAUUAAUACCCGAUAGCAUAAUGAUUCCGCAUGGUUUCAUUAUUAAAGGAUUCCGGUAAAGGAUGGGGAUGCGUUCCAUUAGGUUGUUGGCGGGGUAACGGCCCACCAAGCCUUCGAUGGAUAGGGGUUCUGAGAGGAAGGUCCCCCCACAUUGGAACUGAGACACGGUCCAAACUCCUACGGGAGGCAGCAUG